AACGAACGCUGGCGGUAUGCUUUACACAUGCAAGUCGAACGGGUAAGAGCCGUAGCAAUACGGAAUUCUGCUAGUGGCAAACGGGUGAGUAACGCGUGGGAACCUACCUUAUAGUACGGAAUAGCCCCGGGAAACUGGGAUUAAUACCGUAUACGCUCUUCGGAGGAAAGAUUUAUCGCUAUAAGAGGGGCCAGCGUUAGAUUAGCUAGUUGGUGAUGUAAUGGCUCACCAAGGCGACGAUCUAUAGCUGGUUUGAGAGGAUGAUCAGCCACACUGAGACUUAGACACUGGCCAGACUUCUACGUGAGGCAGCAGUGGGGAAUAUUCGACAAGUGUCGAAAGCCUGAUCCAGCAAUACCGCGUGAGUGAUGAAGUCCUUAGGGUUGUAAAACUCUUUCAGUAGGGAAGAUAAUGACGGUACAUACAGAAGAAGCACCGGCUAACUCCGUGCCAGCAGCCGCGGUAA
rnacentral:rRNA from 1 species